AUUCAGCUGACGAGUCCCAAAUAGGACGAAACGCGCGUUCUGGAU
rfam:Schistosoma mattheei strain Denwood, Zambia genome assembly, scaffold: SMTD_scaffold0006177